rnacentral:rRNA from 1 species
GACAGAGGAGCCAAGCGUUGUCCGGACUGACUGGGCGUAAAGCGCACGCAGGCGGCACUGCGCGUGGGGUGUGAAAGCUCUUGGCUUAACUGAGAGAGGCCAUCCCAUACGGCAGCGCUCGAGCCAUGCAGAGGUCCGCGGAAUUGCCGGUGUAGUGGUGAAAUGCGUAGAGAUCGGCAGGAACACCCAGGGGGAAACCAGCGGACUGGGCAUGUGCUGACGCUCAGGUGCGACAGCGUGGGGAGCGAACCGG